rnacentral:rRNA from 1 species
GACGAAGGAUGCAAGCGUUAUCCGGAUUCAUUGGGUUUAAAGGGAGCGUAGGUGGCCUUAUAAGUCAGUGGUGAAAUCUCUGGGCUUAACCCAGAAAUUGCCAUUGAUACUGUAGGGCUUGAGUAUAGUUGCCGUUGGCGGAAUAUGACAUGUAAGUGGUGAAAUACAUAGAGAUGUCAUAGAACACCGAUUGCGAAGGCAGCUAACGAAACUAUAACUGACACUGAGGCUCGAAAGUGCGGGGAUCAAACAGG